rnacentral:rRNA from 1 species
CCUACGGGAGGCAGCAGUAGGGAAUAUUGCUCAAUGGGGGAAACCCUGAAGCAGCAACGCCGCGUGGAGGAUGAAGGUUUUCGGAUUGUAAACUCCUUUUGUUAGAGAAGAUAAUGACGGUAUCUAACGAAUAAGCACCGGCUAACUCCGUGCCAGCAGCCGCGGUAAUACGGAGGGUGCAAGCGUUACUCGGAAUCACUGGGCGGAAAGAGCGCGUAGGCGGGAUAGCAAGUCAGAUGUGAAAUCCUAUGGCUUAACCAUAGAACUGCAUUGGAAACUGGUAUUCUAGAGUAUGGGAGAGGGAGGUGGAAUUCUUGGUGUAGGGGUAAAAUCCGUAGAGAUCAAGAGGAAUACUCAUUGCGAAGGCGACCUGCUAGAACAUAACUGACGCUGAUGCGCGAAAGCGUGGGGAGCAAACAGGAUUAGAUACCCCUGUAGUC